GCAGCCCGCGUAGACCCGGGACCCGCGCGGCUGAAGAAGGGCGCAGCGUCCCCUCCCCUACGGGGGUCGGUUUGGAAGCUGUGCCUAGUAUCGACGAGGCCCAGGGGAGCUGGAAUGGGUCCUGGCCGCACCCCGCGCGUUGCGGAUUGGAACCUGAGCAAAAUUUUGCAGAACUCAGAGAAAGCCAGCCCAGGAAGUGAUGAGGGUAUUGACAAUCGGAAAGGCUUCGUGUAACAGCAAGGCCCCUGGCUGAGUGGGUAGCAGGAAAGGACAAAGUUGUUUUGGAAGAAGCAUACACCUGACUGCCCACACUCAUGGGAGGCUUCACGUGCGCCUAGGGUUGUCGGACAAAUGUGACUGUCAGAUAAACCAUGAACAAUUUCUCGUAUUGUGCAACAU